UACGUAGGUGGCAAGCGUUGUCCGGAUUUAUUGGGCGUAAAGCGCGCGCAGGUGGUACGGUAAGUCUGCCGUGAAAUCUCCCGGCUCAACUGGGAGGGGGCGGUGGAGACUGCCGGACUGGAGGGACCUAGAGGCCGGUGGAAUUCCCGGUGGAGUGGUGAAAUGCGUAGAGAUCCGGAGGAACACCAAAGGCGAAGGCAGUGUCCUGGGGAGUACCUGACGCUCAGGUGCGAAAGCCAGGGGAGCGAACGGG
rnacentral:rRNA from 1 species